rnacentral:rRNA from 1 species
CUCCUACGGGAGGCAGCAGUGGGGAAUAUUGCACAAUGGGCGCAAGCCUGAUGCAGCAACGCCGCGUGCGGGAUGAAGGCCCUAGGGUUGUAAACCGCUUUCAGCAGGGAAGAAAAUGACGGUACCUGCAGAAGAAGGUGCGGCCAACUACGUGCCAGCAGCCGCGGUGACACGUAGGCACCAAGCGUUGUCCGGAUUUAUUGGGCGUAAAGAGCUCGUAGGCGGUUCAGUUAGUCGGGUGUGAAAACUCUGGGCUCAACCCAGAGACGCCACCCGAUACUGCUGUGACUAGAGUACGGUAGGGGAGUGGGGAAUUCCUGGUGUAGCGGUGAAAUGCGCAGAUAUCAGGAGGAACACCAGUGGCGAAGGCGCCACUCUGGGCCGUAACUGACGCUGAGGAGCGAAAGCAUGGGUAGCAAACAGGAUUAGAUACCCUGGUAGUCCAUGCCGUAAACGUUGGGCACUAGGUGUGGGUCUCAACCAACGAGAUCCGCGCCGUCGCUAACGCAUUAAGUGCCCCGCCUGGGGAGUACGGUCGCAAGACUAAAACUCAAAGGAAUUGACGG